rnacentral:sRNA from 1 species
ACUACACAGAUUGCUCACUGCUAUCAUAAUUCUUCACUACUAGCCAGUAGUCAGGCAGUAGCGUUAAAUACUUUGGUUAAAAUCAUGACAAUUCGGCUGGUUCCAAAGUUCACCCAGAGCUUGCAGGAUGGAUUGAUCUGACCUUUGUUGCUGGUCGACAAGGACAGGGUUACAUGCCUGAAUCCUUGGGAACUUGAGUAUCCUAGAUAGCGCUGCUACCUGAGCAAUGGCUAAACAUGACAACUGCUGCUAACAUUAAUAUCCAGAGGUUCAUCCAGCAUAUAUCCAUCUCCAGAGGUAUAGAAAUGAUUGGUGAUUCUAUAAUGAUGAUUUAAAAUCAUAGAAAAUUGUAGCCCUCAUGUUCAACAAUGGGUGAGCUUUUUGAGGUGAUAUAUCAUAGUACUAUUUAAAAAGUACUAGUAGCGAUAGUUAUAGAAAUAAAAAUGAGUAG